UAGUGACAGCCCCUGCGCCUCAGUCAGUCAGUCAGUAUGCUCGCCUGCCGGCUGGCCGGGCACCCGCGUGCUUGCGAGAAGCGUCGACGCCACACCGCAGACGCCAUCCCGCCGCCUUCAGCAACAGCGCCAGAGCACCUGAUCGUGAGUGAGGCCCAAACACUUCCGUCAGCAACACGCUGAAAUAUUCUGCCUCCCACUUAAUGAGAGAAUUCAAGUUUCUCAUCUAAAGAACAGAUGAGACUUGGGGCACACAGCAUCGAACUGAGCUGAGUGCUGCCUCAUGAGAUCCAAGGCCGAAAUAUCACACAACUGUAUAAUGCAAUUGGGGGAACAAAGCAGAGGAACCGGAGCUUCGGGGAAGUGAAGAGAGGAGUGUCACACCACAACUGCAGUCUGCUUCUUGAUCGACGAGCGUGCAGUCUGACAUUGGAGAAAUUUCUAUUUUGCAAUUUUGCAGCGUUUUUUAAAUGCAUAUGAUUUUUUGAAGAACCAAACGAAUGGGCGUAUGCGAGGAAGGAGCGAAAGUAGAGGACGUUUCGACUUAAAACCAUGUAUGUUAGAUUUUUGCUUCUUUCCUAUAUUUCAUCAAGCCUGGGUGUAAAGGAACAAGGGCAACUUCAUGCAGGAGGUAGACAAAUUAAUGGAGCGACUAAGAAAUUGAGGAAUGGAAUUUGUGAAUGGGAAGAC